UCCUCCUGGGGCCAUCCCUCUGUAUGUGUCUGUGUCCUGAUCUCUUCUCAUAAGGACACAGAUUGGAUCAGGCCCCCAGGGACCUCAUUGCACCUUCUUUGAGGACUGUGUGCAAAUGCAUUGUGUACCUGAGGUGUCAGCGGAGGCCUCGGCAUAGGAACGAGGGGACACAAGCCACCCCGGAGCUCCAUCUUUUUUGUUGUCCCUAAAUCGUUUCUGAGGCCAGAGACACUGCUGCUCAGUGUCCCUGGCUGAACAGCCGCCCAAGGAGAGCUUGUCCCAGGCGCGCUCCGGCCACAGCGGCCAAGGCCCCCAGAGUGCGGCUGCCAGGCUCCGGCCCUCCUGGCCAAGCAGGCUCGGGGGACACUGGGGUCUUAGCUGUGCUGAGGCACCACGUUAGCCAUCAUGUGAGUGUGCGGCCUGGAGAGCGAGGACGGCCGAGAGCCAUGCAGCCACUGGCAGAGUCCUGUUCCAGGACCCCCUGGCACCUGCCAGCUGCCCCCUGCCUGCCUCUAAAGAUCAUCCACUGUGGGCAGACAUGGUUUGGGACCCUGGAGACCCCCCUGAGCUGGUCCUCAGAGAAAAAACUACAACUGAAAAAGCCUGCCAGGUCCCAGUUCUGCCCUGACUGGUACUGUCCAGUACCCAAAGCCCAUUCUGCUGGUGAGCUUGGCACUACCAUGCACUUCAGGGAUCCUUGGCGCACUGCAGCCAUGAGGGGCUGCCUGCUAGCCAUACUCUCCUCAGAGCCUCCCAGACCUUCUGGAGGCCUCCUUACUGGGACUGGGAUGGGACCCCACUGUGCCCACAGGGAGGCCUCUCCUGAGCCUGGGCUCCCAGCGGGCUGUCCUAUAUCACAUUGCAGGAAGCCCCAUGAGAGGGGCCUGCAACUUGGGGGGGACACAAGCACCCCUGGUUUCAGGUGACCCUGGAUCAUGGGGUCUGAGGGUGUCAGCCUCAGGUUCCCUGUUCCCCCGCCCCAGUCCCAGGACACAGGUCCCCAGGGCCCCUGGCCCAGAUGGGUGCCACAGUGCCCAGAGCACCCCAUGGUGGGGUGGGGUGGGGAGGGGACAAAAAAGGACAGAAGGGCUGAAGGGGUCUUAGAGAGUGUGGCCUCCCCAGCAUCCCUGAUCUGCCCGCUGCCCCUGCCCAGCACUUGGCCCAGAGCCCUGGCAGGUGAGGCGUUGUCACAGCCCCGGGCUCCCUCCGGCAGAGGAAGUUGGUCUCUGAGCCCUGAAGGGGAUUUUGAGGGGGAUUUCCAGCCAGGGAACAGCUUUCAGCGAAGGCACUAAAUGGCCUGGGAAGGCCAACCCUGUAUGGAGUGGGUCGCCUUAGUCACAGGGGCAGCAUCUCCCAGUCCGGGCUGGAUGCAGGAGCACGGCAGCUGGGCUCUCGCCCUGUUCCCCAGGAAAGCCAGACAGCGGGACACCAGGCCUGUAUGGAGCCCCUGAGACGUGUCCCUGUGGAAGUCUGCAAGGAGAUUUCGGUGCCAGCCCCCAGCCUGACAUCAGGAUCCACGGCUGCCGUCCUCAUGAGGGGUCGGCCUGAUGCCCUCUUCCUUGUGAGGCUGCCCAGCCCCGCUCUGCGGCCUCCAGGGAGGCUGAGCAGGGUGACGGGGCUGCGGCCACAGGCAUGGGCAGUGGGGGCCUGCCCAGGGGUGGAGAAGGUGCUGUCUGCCGCCCCGGGGGGCAUGGAGAUAGGCCUUCCCAUGGAAAAGCCCAUAAUCACCCAGAAUGGUUGCUCCCACCAGGGAGGAGCCUGCCCCACACUGGCGAGGAGAGGAGAAGGACACCAGGGCCUCCGAGCCGCACUGCCCACACUUCAGGCUUCAGUGGUGUGGUUCCUGCAGAAGCAUCAGGGCCACCUUGCUGACAACUGAGAGUGUCAGCUCCCAGGGUGAAACGGACCUGAACAGGCAUCUUACUGGAGAACCCAAACCUCCCAGAGGGCACCGUGUUCUGAGGCUCACAGAGCCUGCUGACCGUGCAUCUUUUGGGAAUGGUCUUCCUGGAGCUCCACCUGGGGUCUGAACUGAAGGUGUUGUCAUCGUAGACCCUGACUGGGCCACCCCUUGGCUGGGUGACACGGGGCAGGGUCUGCAGAGCACCGCCUGCAUGGGACCAGCUUGUGUCUUUGGCUUGCAGUGGCACAGCCUGGAUGCAGCCGCUUUUCCAUGGAGGGAAUUCAUCUCAGGUUCGGCAUUGGGUGGACUCCUAGCCCCUCAAGAACAUAUAUCCACCUGCAACCACAGAAGGUGGCCUUUUCUGGAAGCAGGGUCUCUGUGGAUGGGAUGACGGGUCCCAGAUUACCAGGGCUGGUGUUAAUCCAGGGACAGUUGUCCUUCUAUGACAUGCACAUGAUGGCAGUCAGACUGGAAGCCCAGCCCCAGCUACCCUGGCCCUGCUGAGAGUGAUGGGUGCCCCCUGCACCUCGAGACUGCCUUCCGGGUGCAGUGUCCCUGUAGGAGCAGCAUGGGGUCACAGGGAGCACAGCUGCCAUCACAGAAAGGCAGAGGCUUGACCCUGAAGCCGAGGCUCAGGUCAGACAAAGGGGGUUGAUGUCAGUAAGCACGAGGCAGACCCUGAUCUGUUCCCGGGCGCUGGGCCCGAGGAGAGGCGGAUGGAAUGUGGACACUGUCUGUCCUCUGGGGUUUGCUGUGGCAGGAACUGUCACGGGUGGUGACAGGCAGAUUUGACCAGGCCCGGGCUUCAUCAGUGGCCUCCCCAAGGGCCAAGGGCCCCGCACACGUUCCGGGUGGCUCCUUGCUGAUGACAUCAGCACAGGACCUGCCUGUCCCUGGCUGCGGGUGGCUGACAUGCUGGCUCCUCUGUUCUGAAACAGACACCUGUACUGCCAUCCAGCGCACACCCAGAUGCCCUCUGCAGGCUCAGAGGUGGAGUUACCAGAGGGCCAUGCAUCUCAGGGUUUGGGGCUGCCCCCUAGGGACCCCUGCCCACCCCACUGUGGGGUCCUGGCCUCAUGCCACCUGGCUCAGAGCGAGGCCUGGGCAAGGCGAGGGGACACAUCAGCUCCACCAGUUUCUGGGGCCCACUGCUGCACCAGCCUCUUCUGGCACCCCCCUACCCCACAUCCCCCAAUGUGUGACCCUGUGUAUCUGGUCACCCUCUACAGUGCCGGCUGCCACUGUGACUCCUGACCCUUUGUUGCCAGGUGGUGAUGAGCCACAGGCUAACUCCUCUCUGUCCCACCCCCACCUCCAGAGGAGGGAGGCUGUCCCCCAGGAUGGGGAGGGGUCCUGCCGUGCCUGAGCCAGCCAGCAGGUGGGUGUUGGCGGCUCCUCAGAGAGCCACUCCGUGGAGCCCCCUCUCCCCAGCCUCCAGAGGGAGCCCCAGAAGGGACCGCCCAACUUCCAGGUGGAGGCGGUAUUGGAGCGACUCAGCCUGCAGAGAGGCCGGGGUGGUGUGGGCCCGGGCCGGCGCAGGCCAGUGGCUGGAAGUGCCCCCCUACUGACCACGUUCCCCUCGCCAGGGGCCCAGUGUGGCUGCAGACUCCAGCCAGGCUGCCCUGGGCCCCGACCUCUACCUGCCUGGCCCCACAGGCCCCUCCAGGUUUGGGAUAAGCUAAGGAUGGACAGCACGGGCCGCGGGAGAUGAAAGGGCUGCUCCCGGAAAGACGUGGAAACAAAACAUUCGGGAGCCAUGGCUGGCUGGCUGUGUGUGUUCCCAGCCCAGCGUCAGCCCCUCUCAGAGCCAGAGUCCAAGGCCAGUCUCAGGAGACAUUCAGGAAGUGCGAGGCUGGUGGGCAGUGGGGCCCAGGUUUCAGGGUGGCUAAGCUGGCAGCUCUCUGCCUCAGGAGAACAGGGUGGAAGCCUGUCCCUCACCCUGCGGUGGCCCAGUGAUGGGGCCCAGACCCCCUCUCACCUGACUCCCCGCCCACCUCCCUCUCGCGGGGGGCUCUGGGUGGCCACACCAGCGCAGGCGAUGUGGCGGGGGCUUCUCUCCGGAAGGGAUCCUGAGUCCAAGAAAGAAGUCAGCUCGAACACUUCAAGAUUUCCCCAACCUUUGUUGUGAAAACAUAUUUUGAACUAAUACUACCUUUUAAAAAAUUAUGGUAAAAUACACAUAAUGUGAAAUUCACCAUUUUAACCAUGUCUAAGUGCACAGUUUUGUAGCAGUAAAUACGUUCACACUCUGAGCACCCGUCUCAGACUUUCCAUUUUCCCACCUGAAAUCUGUCCUGAGUAGCAGGACACCAGCUCCCCACCCUCUCCCCCUGCCCUGGCACCCACUGUCCUACUGUCCCUCUGAAUCUGAUCACUAGGGAACGUCCUGUGAGUGGACCAUAUGGUGUCUGUCCUUCUGUGUCUUGCUGGCUCCACUGAGGGUCACGCCCCGAAUCCACCGCGGUGUGCUCGGAUUCCCUUCCUUCCACGGCAGCAUGGACAGACCCCCUCGUGCCCACCCCUCGUCUGUCUGUGCCCACCCCUUGGCUGUCGUGAGUGACGCUGCUGGGCACGUGGGCGUGCAGACGUCUGCUGGGUUCUCAUACAGAUCCAGUCUGUCCCACUUCUCCUACAGGUCCAGAAGAGGAAUUAGUAGGUCAUAUGCUAGUUCUGUUUUUAAUAUUCUGAGGAACCUCCAUGCUGGGUGCCAUAGCAGCUGGGCUGUUCUUCCUUCCUGCCAGCCAUGACGGGCCCCAAUUUCCCCCACCUGCUCCAGCACGGGUCCUGGUGGUUUCGGGACAGGGCCUACCUCACAGGUGGUACUCUUCAGCACAGAGUGGAUGGCCACCUCCCCCAGAACAUGGACAACACCCCACUUUACCUCUCUCUGUAUGAGGCAUCUGGACUCCUGUUCGAUGCACCAUUUUGAAGGCCAGUUGAAGGCACCUGGACAUAAAUGCCGGCGGCCCUCUCCUGGGGUGAGAGGGCGCCCCAGCAGCACCCAGCAGGCCGUCACCCCUCCUCCCCAAACGCCUUCCCAGCUCCACGCGGCCCCACCGGCCUCCCGCAGCCCGGACCCCUUUCUUGGUGACAUCUGCUCUUCCACUCUGCUGCAGGGGUGCCCUGGCCCUUCCCGGGCCUUCAGCUGCCUCUGGUUUCCUGGAUCCUGGAGACUGGGUCAAGAGUGGCCGUUCUUAACUUUGACUUUGCCCCCAGGAGGGAUUUGUGGCUGUCACCCUGCAGGGGAGGGACGGGACUGCUGUCCAACCCUUCAGUGUGUGGGGCAGCCCCCACCUGCAGAGGUGUCCACCCAAAAUGCCAGCAGGGCCAUGGUUGCAGACCCCCAUCCAAAGGCUCGCUGAGCUCUGGCUCAGACCUCUCUGGGCAGGCUCUUCACAGGCCACCAGCAGGCCGGUGGCCCCAUGCUGGCUCCUGCAGUGGCCUCCCGGGCAGUGGGCACUAUGCCCUCUCUACUGUGCAGGAGCACCCCACCUCAGCGACUGCCCAGUCAUAUGGGGCACCUGCCUCGGCCUCAACGGUAUUGUGGUCUCCAGGCACCCUUCCUGGGGGCUUCCAUCCCCACUGACAGUCCUGGGAGAUGUUGGUGAUCACACAGGUUGCAAAGGGCAGUGUUCUAAUUUCAUCCCACCUCUGUGUGUGUCGGCUGAUGUUCUGUAAAGAAAAGCCUGCCUUUAUUCUUCCUUAUUCCUGAUCUGUCUUUUUUUUCUU